rnacentral:rRNA from 1 species
CAUCGCCUCUUGAGUCCAAAUAAGAGGUCCAGCCUGCCCAGUGAAAUUAUUCAACGGCCGCGGUAUCCUAACCGUGCGAAGGUAGCGUAAUCACUUGUUCUUUAAAUGAGGACUAGUAUGAAUGGCACCACGAGGGUUCUACUGUCUCCUUUUUUUAAUCAGUGAAACUAAUCUUCCCGUGAAGAAGCGGGAAUUUUUUUAUAAGACGAGAAGACCCUAUGGAGCUUAAAACAAACGACAUUUGCUUUAUCUAAUACUCGUAUCUGCAAGAAAUAUAGCAUUUUAAUCUUUAGUUUUCGAUUGGGGUGAUCACGGAGUAAAAUUUAACCUCCACGCCGAAAGGGUUUAUCCCUGAGCAAAAAGCUACAACUUUAAGCACUAAAAAAUUAACGUAAUUUGACCCAAUAUAUUGAUCAACGAACCAAGUU